ACAAUGGGCGCAAGCCUGAUCCAGCCAUGCCGCGUGUGUGAUGAAGGCCCUAGGGUUGUAAAGCACUGUCGGGAGGGACGAAAAUGGUGGUGUAACGGCCACAACUGACGGUACCUCCUAAGGAAGCACCGGCUAACUCUGUGCCAGCAGCCGCGGUAAUACAGAGGGUGCAAGCGUUAAUCGGAAUUACUGGGCGUAAAGCGCACGCAGGCGGUUGUAUAAGCCAGAUGUGAAAGCCCCGGGCUUAACCUGGGAUAGUCAUUUGGAACUGUACAACUAGAGUCUUGGAGAGGGGAGUGGAAUUUCUGGUGUAGCGGUGAAAUGCGUAGAUAUCAGAAGGAACAUCAGUGGCGAAGGCGACUCCCUGGCCAAAGACUGACGCUCAUGUGCGAAAGUGUGGGUAGCGAACAGGAUUAGAUACCCUGGUAGUCCACACCGUAAACGCUGUCUACUAGCUGUGUGUGCCUUUAAGGCGUGCGUAGCGAAGCUAACGCGCUAAGUAGACCGCCUGGGGAGUACGGCCGCAAGGUUAAAACUCAAAUGAAUUGACGGGGGCCCGCACAAGCGUUGGAGCAUGUGGUUUAAUUCGAUGAUACGCGA
rnacentral:rRNA from 1 species